AAAAACAAAAACAAAAAACAUAUUCCGUUGCGGGGAAUCGAACCCCGGCCUUAUGGGUGAGAGCCAUAAAUCCUAACCACUAGACCACAACGGAGAUGA
ensembl:ncRNA F15A8.17 ncRNA